GAUGAAGAACGUAGCGAAAUGCGAUAAGUAAUGUGAAUUGCAGAAUUCAGUGAAUCAUCGAAUCUUUGAACGCACAUUGCGCCCGCCAGUAUUCUGGCGGGCAUGCCUGUUCGAGCGUCAUUUCAACCAUCAAGCCCCGGCUUGUGUUGGGGACCUGCGGCUGCCGCAGGCCCUGAAAUGCAGUGGCGGGCUCGCUGUCACUCCGAGCGUAGUAGUUACAUCUCGCUCUGGGCGUGCUGCGGGUUCCGGCCGUUAAAAGCCUUAUUUACCCAAGGUUGACCUCGGAUCAGGUAGGAAGACCCGCUGAACUUAAGCAUAUCAAUAAGCGGAGGA
rnacentral:misc_RNA from 1 species